GGUCUUCGGAUGCUGACGAGUGGCGAACGGGUGAGUAAUACAUCGGAACGUGCCCGAUCGUGGGGGAUAACGAAGCGAAAGCUUUGCUAAUACCGCAUACGAUCUACGGAUGAAAGCAGGGGACCGCAAGGCCUUGCGCGAACGGAGCGGCCGAUGGCAGAUUAGGUAGUUGGUGGGAUAAAAGCUUACCAAGCCGACGAUCUGUAGCUGGUCUGAGAGGACGACCAGCCACACUGGGACUGAGACACGGCCCAGACUCCUACGGGAGGCAGCAGUGGGGAAUUUUGGACAAUGGGCGCAAGCCUGAUCCAGCCAUGCCGCGUGCAGGAUGAAGGCCUUCGGGUUGUAAACUGCUUUUGUACGGAACGAAAAGACUCUGGUUAAUACCUGGGGUCCAUGACGGUACCGUAAGAAUAAGCACCGGCUAACUACGUGCCAGCAGCCGCGGUAAUACGUAGGGUGCAAGCGUUAAUCGGAAUUACUGGGCGUAAAGCGUGCGCAGGCGGUUAUAUAAGACAGAUGUGAAAUCCCCGGGCUCAACCUGGGAACUGCAUUUGUGACUGUAUGGCU
rnacentral:rRNA from 1 species